rnacentral:lncRNA from 1 species
UUUUUACCUUAUUUAACGGGUCGGUCAUCUUGAUAGCUAAGAAGUGAGAGGACUUAGUGAGCCGAUCUACAAUUACCCAAAUAGCAUCAUGUCCCGAGCGUGCCUUGGGCAACCCCGUCACAAUAUUUAUUGUGAUAUGUUUCCACUUCCACUUCGGGAUCAGUAAUGGCUAAAGUAACCCGUUUAGGCAUUAAUGCUCAGCCUUAAACUGUUGACAU